rnacentral:rRNA from 1 species
AGCGAACGCUGGCGGCAGGCCUAACACAUGCAAGUCGAACGAACUCUUCGGAGUUAGUGGCGGACGGGUGAGUAACACGUGGGAACGUGCCUUUAGGUUCGGAAUAACUCAGGGAAACUUGUGCUAAUACCGAAUGUGCCCUUCGGGGGAAAGAUUUAUCGCCUUUAGAGCGGCCCGCGUCUGAUUAGCUAGUUGGUGAGGUAAAGGCUCACCAAGGCGACGAUCAGUAGCUGGGCUGAGAGGAUGACCAGCCACAUUGGGACUGAGACACGGCCCAAACUCCGACGGGAGGCAGCAGUGGGGAAUCUUGCGCAAUGGGCGAAAGCCUGACGCAGCCAUGCCGCGUGAAUGAUGAAGGUCUUAGGAUUGUAAAAUUCUUUCACCGGGGACGAUAAUGACGGUACCCGGAGAAGAAGCCCCGGCUAACUUCGUGCCAGCCGCCGCCGUAAUAC